rnacentral:rRNA from 1 species
UACGGAGGGUGCAAGCGUUAUCCGGAUUCACUGGGUUUAAAGGGUGCGUAGGCGGGUUGGUAAGUCAGUGGUGAAAUCUUCAAGCUUAACUUGGAACUGCCGUUGAUACUAUCAAUCUUGAAUGUUGUGGAGGUAAGCGGAAUAUGUCAUGUAGCGGUGAAAUGCUUAGAUAUGACAUAGAACACCGAUAGCGAAGGCAGCUUGCUACACAAAAAAUUGACGCUGAGGCACGAAAGCGUGGGGGAUCAAACAGG